rnacentral:rRNA from 1 species
UACGUAGGGUGCGAGCGUUGUCCGGAAUUAUUGGGCGUAAAGGGCUCGUAGGCGGUUUGUCGCGUCGGGAGUGAAAAUACCGGGCUUAACUCGGUGCUUGCUUUCGAUACGGGCAGACUAGAGGCAUGCAGGGGAGAACGGAAUUCCUGGUGUAGCGGUGAAAUGCGCAGAUAUCAGGAGGAACACCGAUGGCGAAGGCAGGUCUCUGGGCAUUAACUGACGCUGAGGAGCGAAAGCAUGGGGAGCGAACAGG